rnacentral:lncRNA from 1 species
AUCCCGACUAAGUGGCCGUCCUGGGAGUUAUAGUGCCACUAGCCGGCCUCGGCUGUUCCCUGUCCGAGGCUCUUGUCAUUUCCGCUUAUUUCCUCCACGGGUGCCGAUUUCAUGUGUGUGUUCCCGAGUGCCUGAGCCGGCUCCCGAAAUGAGUACUCGUGGUUUCCGCGUGGGAACCAACCUCGAGCGCCAGUGGCCCGCCCUCUCCGGGCUGAGGUGGCUGCUGAGGCUGGGGCUGCUCCUGAGGCUUCAGGGCCGCCCGCUGCACGGCUUUCUACCUUCCCAGGUUAGCCGCGGUCAACUUCUGCCAGGCGGAGCGAGAAAUCGCAUUUUGUCAGUUUUAACAAAACAGAAAUGUGUAAAAAUUUGUGUAAAAUCUUACGAUCGAGACCAAAUGGACAAGCUGGCUUUUUUUGAAGAAAGUAAUACGACUGAAUUACUAGCAUCAUUGGUAGGUUUGGCAUCUGAAAUAACAUGACUUGGCUGGGUGAGGUGGCGUGCCACCUCAGCACUUUGGGAGGCCAAGGUGGACAGAUUGCUUGAGCUCAGGAGUUUGAUACCAGCCUGGCCAGCGUGGCGAAAACCCAUCUCUACUAAAAAUACAAAAAUUAGCCGAGCAUGAUGGCAGGCACCUGUAAUCCCAGCUACUUGGGAAGCUGAGGCACAUGAGAAUUGCUUGAACCUGGGAGGCGGAGGUUGCAGUGAGCCGAGAUUGCACCACUGCACUCCAGCCUGGGUGAAAGAGUGAGACGCUGUCUCAGAAAAAAAAAAAAAAAUUAACAUGACUCAAUUAAUUUUUCAAUUCCUUUCAGAAGUUUUUUGUUUGUUUGUUUUGAGACAGGGUAUUGUUCUGUGGCCCAGGCUGGAGCAAAGUGAUGUAAUCAUAGCUCACUGCAUCCUCAAACUCCUGGGCUCAAUUGAUCCUCUUAGCCUCCUGAGUAGCUAGGACUACAGGCAUGUGCCACCAUGCCUGGUUAAGUUUUGAUUUUCUUUUUUGUCUUUUUUUUUUUUUUUUCUUGAGACAGAGUCUAGCUCUGUUGCUCAGGCUGGAGUGCAGUGGCGUGAUCUAGCACACUCGAAAUCUCCACCACCCAGGUUCAAACAAUUCUCCUGCCUCAGCCUCCUGAGUAGCUGGGAUUACAGGCACCCGCCACCACGCCCAGCUAAUUUUUGUAUUUUUAGUAGAGACGGGGUUUCACUGUGUUGCCCAGGCUGGUCUUGAACUCCUGACCUCGUAAUCCGCCCGCCUCAGCCUUCCAAAGUGCUGGGAUUACAAGUGUUAGCCACCGUGCCCAGCCUUUGUUUUUUCUUUUUUGCUGUCACCUUAUUUUUUUUUUAUUAUUUUUAUUUUCUUUUUGUAGAGACAGGGUCUAGCUAUGUUGCCCAGGCUGGUCUUGAACUCCUGGCCUCAAGCAGUGCUUCCACCUUGGACUCCCAAAGUGAGUCACCACACCCUGCCAAAAAAGUAUUCUUUAUUUUUUAUAUUUUAUUUUAUUAUUAUUUUUUGGAUAUAGGGUUUCUCUCUGUCACCCAGGCUAGCGUAAAGUGGCACCAUCUUGGCUCACUGCAACCACCACCUCCCGGGUUCAAGUGAUUCUCGUGCCUCAGCCUUCUGAGUAGCUGGGAUUAUAGGUGUCUGCCACUACACCCGGCUAAUUUUUGUAUUUUUUUUUUUAGUACAGAUGGAGUUUUACCAUGUUGGCCAGGCUGGUCUUGAACUCCUGGUCUCAAGUGAUCCACCCGCCUCGGCCUCCCAAAGUGCUGGGAUUACAGGCGUGAGCCACUGCACCUGGCAGUGUUUCUUAUAUUUCAGUCAUUUCACAUACCACCUUGGUAAUUUUUGCUAUAUGUCAAGCACCUGUAUUAUUAUUUAUCUACUUUAAAAAAAUCCGUUAUUUAAGGCCAGGUGCAGCGGCUCAUGCCUGUAAUCCCAGCACUUUGGGAGGCUGAGGCGGGUGGAUCACUUGAGGCCAAGAAUUUGAGACCAGCCUGGCCAGCAUGGCAAAACUCUGUCUCUACUAAAAAUACAAAAAAAUGAGCCAGGCAUGGUGGCACUCACCUGUAGUCCCAGCUACUUGGGAGGCUGAGGCAGGAGAAUUGCUUGAACCUGGGAGGCAGAGGUUGCAGUGAGCCCAGAUUGCACCACUGCACCCCAGCCUGGUCAACAGAGGGAGACCCUUACUCAAAAAAAAAAAAAAAUCCAUGCUGUAUUUAGAAAGGAAACUAUAAUACCCUAAUUAUAGAUUUACUCUACUACUUAUCUUUUUUAUUCAUCUAAUUUCAAGUAAAUAUGUAAAAGGUAAAAUUGUUUUUCCAUCUACUACCUAAAAUCAUCUUGUAUAUCUUCAGUGCUAUGUAUUUUUCACAAUGGGAAGCAGUGAGAUAAAGAAGUAAAGAAAAUGGGAAGAGAAGCAACAAACAACUGCUUAAUUGAUAGUUCUUUGAAAGCAAGGGUAAACUGGCAGAAGAAAGGAGUUAAUGAACAGGAGAAAUGUUCAUUAAUAUGGUCUGUGUUUGAGACCAUAUAUGAAAGUGGGUUCUUAGGGAACAUUUAACGACGACAUCUUUCAAGAUCAAGUCUGGGAAGAAGAAAGGGACCAAUAGGAUGAAAAACCCCCAGUUGGCAGGAGUAGCAAUAACUUUACCAACAUUUGUAGGUUGUCAACAUAAAAUUACCAAGGUUAAGUAAAAGCUUAAAUAAGGCCGGGUGCAGUGGCUCACGCCUGUAAUCACAACUUUGGGAGGCCAGGGCAGGUGGAUCACAAGGUCAGGAGUUCGAGAUCAUCCUGGCUAACAUGGUGAAAUCCUGUUUCUACUAAAAUACAAAAAAAAAAAAAAAAAAAAAAAAAUUAGCCGGGCGUGGUGGUGCAUGCCUGUAGUACCAGCUACUCGGGAGGCUGAGGCACGGGAAUCACUUGAACCCAGGAGGUGGAGGUUGCAGUAAGCCCAGACUGCGCCACUGCAGUCCAGGCGUGGCGACAGAGUGAGACUCUGUCUAAAAAAAAACAACAACAAAGCUUAAAUAAAACCAGCAGCUACUUUUUGCUAUUUCUUUUAUAUAGUGAUACUCUUUCUUGUGAAUUUCCUCUUCCUCCUCUCCUUCUCCUCCUCCUCCUCCCCCUCCUCCUUCUUCUUAUUCUUCCUCUUCCUCCUCUUCCUCUUCCUCCUCUUCCUCUUCUUCCUCUUCCUCCUCUUCCUCUUCUUCCUCUUCCCCUUCCUCUUCUCCUUCUCCUCCUCCUCCUUCUCCUCUUCCUCCUUCUUAUUCUUCCUCUUCCUCUUCUUCCUCUUCCUCCUCUUCCUCCUCUACCUCCUCUACCUCUUCUUCCUCUUCCCCCUCCUCUUCUCCUUCUCCUCCUCCUCCUUCUUCUUCUUUCUCACUUUGUCACCCAGGCUGAGUGCAGUGGCAUGAUCACGGCUCACUGCAACCUCGACCUCCAGGGCUCAAGCCAUCCUCCUUCCUCAGCCUCCUGAGUAGCUGGGACUACAGGCGUGUGCCACCACGUCAGGCUAAUCUUUGUAGUUUUUGUAGAGAUAGGGUUUUGCCAUGUUGCCCAGGUUGGUCUCGAACUCCUGGACUCAAGUGAUCUGCCCGCCUCAGCCUCCCAAAGUGCUGGGAUUACAGGUGUGCACCACUGCUCCCAGCCUAUUUUUAUUUUAAAGAUAUUUAUUUUAGAUAGAUACUGAUGUCCUCCUCCCUUCACCCUGACACAUAGGCUCCUUUUCGUUGAAAAAUGAAAGUUUCAGGCAAGUUUCAGAAAAGUUUAUAGGCUGGGCAUGGUGGCUCAUGCCAGCACUUUGUGAGGCCAAGGUGGGCGGAUCGCCUGAGGUCAGGGGUUCAAGACCAGCCUGGCCAACAUGGCGAAACCGAUCUCUACUAAAAAUACAAAAAAAUUAGCCAGGCGUAGUGUUGGGCGCCUGUAAUCCCAGCUAUUCGGGAGGUUGAGGCAGGAGAAUCACUUGAAUCUGGGAGGUGGAAGUUGCAGUGAGCUGAGAUUGCUCCACUGCACUCCAGCCUGGGCGACAGAGCAAGAAUCCAUCUCAAAAAAAAAAAAAAAUAAUAAGAAGUUGUUUAUAGUGCCAUUGAUCAUAUCAGUGGGAAUAAUUAUACCAAUUAUUUUCAAAGUGUGGUCUGGGGGCCUCUGAGAACUUUUCAGGGAGUCUGCAAGGUCCAAACUAUUUUCAUAGUAGUACUAAGCUGUUACUUGCCUUCUUCACUCUCAUUCUUUCAUGAGUGUACGGUGGAAUUUUCCAGAGGCUACAUGAAGUGAGAUGAUGAUCUCAACUUCUUGGGAGGCUGAGGCAGGAGAAUCACUUGAACCCUGGAGACAGAGGUUGCAGUGAGCCAAGAUCACGCCAUUGCACUCCAGCCUGGGUGAUUGAGUGAGACUCUGUUUCAAAAAAAAAAAAAAAAAAAAAAAAAAAGUUAAAAAACUCCUUUUUUGGUCUAACACACUAAAAGUCAAGUUUUGAUAAUUUAUUUGAAGAACUAUUAGAUAAAUAUAGUAGCAGAGAACAAUGGGCUAGAAUAGAGUCCAGAAAGAGACAUAAAUAUUUAUGGAAGUUAUUUAUGGGAAUUUCAGUUUAUCAUAAAGGUGGUGUUUCUUUCUUUUCUUCUUUUUUUUGAGACCGAGUCUCGCUCUGUCGACCAGGCUAGAGUGCAGUGGCACACGAUCUCGGCUCACUGCAACCUCCGCCCUCCGCCUCCUGGAUUCACGCCAUUCUUCUGCCUCAGCCUCCCGAGUAGCUGGGACUACAGGCACCUACCACCAUGCCCGGCUAAUUUUUUUUUGUAUUUGUAGUAGAGACGGGGUUUCACUGUGUUAGCCAGGAUGGUCUCGAUCUCCUGACCUUGUGAUCUCCCCGCCUCAGCCUCCCAACGUGCUGGGAUUACAGGCAUGAACCACGGCGCCCUGUGUUUUUUUUUGAGAUGGAGUUAUGGAGUUUCAGUCUUCACCCAGGCUGGAGUGAAGUGGUGCGAUCUUGGCUUACUGCAACCUCCGUCCCCCAGGUUCAAGCAAUUCUCCUGCUUCAGCCUCCCGAAUAGCUGGGAUUAUAGGCGCCCACCACCAUGCCCGGCUAAUUUUUGUAUUUUUAGCAGAGACGGGGUUUCACCAUGUUGGCCAGGCUGGUCUCAAACUCCUGACCUCAGGUGAUCCACCCGUCUUGGCCUCCCAAAGUGCUAAGAUUACAGGCGUGAGCCACCGUGCCCCACCAAAGGUGGUGUUUCAAAUUAGCGAAGACAGUUCAAUAAAUGAUGUGGGGACUGACAACUGUUUCAGGACAGGAAUAAAAUGAUCUUGGUCUAUACUUCAGUCCUUAUACCCAAAUGAACUACAAGGGAAUUAAAACUUUAAACAUUAGGAAGAUAGAAGAAAACAUGGAAUGAGGAGGCAAGGUACUGUAUAAGCUCCAGAAACUAUAAAGGAAAUGACGGAUGAAUCUGACUAUGUAAAAAUAAAAACAAAAAAUCCUUCUACAUGGCAAAUAAAAUAAAUAGCAAAGUCAAAAUGCAACUGAUAUACCAAGAAAAACUAUUUGUGAUUUGGGGGUGAUGAAAGAUUGAUUUCUUUCAUCCAGAGCCCAUAUGCAAACCAAUCAGGAAAAGGCAAACAGACCAAAAGAAAAAUGGGCAAAGGCUACAGUCUGCUUUACAGAAAAAUAAAUGCAAAUGGACAAAGAACAUGAACCUAUACUCAACUGCAGCCAUAAUUAAAGAGAUACAAAUUAAGACAACACUGAAAAGCAUUUUUUUUUUUUUUUCUGAGACUGAGUCUUACUUUGUCGCCAAGGCUGGAGUGCAGUGGCUCGAUCUUGGCUCACUGCAACCUCUGCUGCCCGGGUUCAAGUGAUUCUCCUGCCUCAGCCUCCCAAGUAGCUGAGAUUACAGGCACCUGCCACCGUGCACGGCUAAUUUUUGUAUUUUUAGUAGAGACGGGGUUUCGCUAUCUUGGUCAGGCUGGUCUCGAACUCCUGACCUCAUGAUCCACUCGCCUCAGCCUCCUAAAGUGCUGGGAUUACAGGCGUGAGCCACUGCGCCCAGCCGAAAAGCAAUAUUGUUCAUCUGUUGGAUCUACAAGCAUAUUAAAGGGUGAUGCCUAGUGCUGGCUAAGAUGUAGGUAAACACACUAUUAUAGUAAAUUGAUAAAGUCUUGCUGGAGGACACUUGGCUGUAGCUAGUAAAAUAGAAGAAAUGUGUGAUAAUGCGUAGUAAUAGCAAAACUUAUGAAAUAACACACAACAAUAAUAUAUAUAUAUGUAUAUAUAUAUAACAAAAUAAAAAAAGAUACAUAUAUUUGACCUGGUAAUUCCACUGCUAGGAAUUCAUUCUCCAGAUAACCUGCAAAGGCUUGCCAAUAUGCACAUCCUGUGAGUGUGUUUAGAUGAGAGAGCUCUUGGCAAGGCUCAGUUGGUGGAGUCCCACUGUGACCCUCAGCUGACUAUGUUGUGUUAGUAAGACAGUGUGUAUAGAACAAUAACUAUGGUUAAGUGAAACCUCUGCUUGUUUUUCUUUUUGUUUUUUGUUUGAGAGGGAACCUCACUCUGUCACCCAGGCUGGAGGGCAGUGGUGUGAUCUUGGCUCACUGCAGCCUCUGCCUCCAGGGUUCAGGCAAUUUUCCUGCCUCAGGCUUCCUCAGGCGUAGCUGGGAUUACAGGCACGCACCACCUAGCCCCGGUUAAUUUUUGUAUUUUUUUAGUAGAGAUGUGGUUACACCAUGUUGGCUAGGCUGGUCUUAAACUCCUGACCUCGAGUGAUCUGCCUGCUUUGGCCUCCCAAAAUGCUGGGAAUACAGGCGUGAGGCACCGCACCCGACCUUCUGCUUAUUUUUCUAUAUUGAUCAUGUACCACUUUAGCUUAUGGAAUUGUGGCAAUACAAUUUCAGUUUGUACAUCUACUUUGAUUUGCUGUUUCUGCAUUCUUGUUUUAGCACUGUAUUAGAGGUAGUUUUUUCAAAAUUCAUGCCAACAUAAAUAGCUUCAUCCCCAGGAGAUGAUCAGUGCAAAAGUUUCAAUUACUCCUGUCACUUUUUUUUUUUUUUUUUGAUGGAGUCUCGCACUGUUGCCCAGGCUGGAUGCAGUGGCAUGAUCUCAGCUCACUGCAAGCUCUGCCUCCCGGGUUCAUGCCAUUCUCCUACCUCAGCCUCCCUAGUAGCUGGGACUACAGGCGCCCGCCACCAUGCCCAGCUAAUUUUUUGUAUUUGUAGUAGAGACGGGGUUUCACUGUGUUAGCCAGGAUGAUCUUGAUCUCCUGACCUCGUGAUCCGCCCGCCUCGGCCUCCCAAAGUGCUGGGAUUACAGGCGUGAGCCACCGCACCCGGCCUCUCCUGUCACUUUUAAAAAAGUUACUCCUCAUAUCUAUUGGCUGAGGAGAUGGAAGUGUUUCUGGGGAUUUGAGAUGCUAAGAUGAUGAUGUUUUAGGCCCACGGCCAUGGCACCUACUUUUGUUCUAUUCAGCCUACUGAGAGGUGACAGUGUGCUGGCAGCCCUCACAGCCCUCCCUCGCUCUCAGCGCUUCCUCUGCCUGGGCUCCCACUUUGGCGGCACUUGAGGAGCCCUUCAACCCGCUGCUGCACUGUGGGAGCCCCUUCCUGCGCUGGCUGAGGCAGGAGCUGGCUCCCUCAGCUUGCGGGGAGGUGUGGAGGAGAGGCGCGGGCAGGAACAGCAGCAGUGUGACUUCCGGGUGGGCGUGGGCUCGGUGGGCUGCACACUCAGAGCGGCCAGCUGGCUCCGCCGGCCCGGGGCAGUGAGGGGCUUAGCACCUGGGCCAGCAGCUGCUGUGCUUGACUUCUCGCCGGGCCUUAGCUGCCUCCCUGUGGGGCAGGGCUCGGGACCUGCAGCCCGCCAUGCCUGAGCCUCCCCCCGCCAUGGGCUCCUGCACUGCCGGAGCCUCCCCGACGAGCGCCGCCCCCUGCUCCAUGGCACCCAGUCCCAUCGACCACCCAAGGGCUGAGGAGUGCGAGUGCAUGGCGUGGGACUGGCAGGCAGCUCCACCUGCGGCCCCGGUGCAGGAUCCACGGGGUGAAGCCAGCUGGGCUCCUGAGUCUGGCGAGGACUUGGAGAACCUUUAUGUCUAGCUAAGGGAUUGUAAAUACACCAAUUGGCACUCUGUAUCUAGCUCAAGGUUUGUUAAACACACCAAUCAGCACCCUGUGUCUAGCUCAGGGUUUGUGAAUGCACCAAUGGACACUCUGUAUCUAGCUACUCUGGUGGGGACUUGGAGAACCUUUAUGUCUAGCUAAGGGAUUGUAAAUACACCAAUUGGCACUCUGUAUCUAGCUCAAGGUUUUUAAACACACCAAUCAGCACCCCGUGUCUAGCUCAGGGUUUGUGAAUGCACCAAUCGACACUCCGUAUCUAGCUAAUCUAGUGGGGACGUGGAGAACUUUUGAGUCUACCUCAGGGAUUAUAGAUGCACCAAUCAACACCCUGUCAAAACGGACCAAUCAGCGCUCUGUAAAACAGACCAAUCAGCUCUCAGUAAAAUGGACCAAUCAGCAGGAUGUGGGUGGGGCCAGAUAAGGGAAUAAAAGCAGGCUGCCGGACCCAGCAGUGGCAAGGCGCUUCGGUUGUCUUCCAUGAUGUGGACGCUUUGUUCUUUUGCUCUUUGCAAUAAAUCUUCCUGUUGCUUUCUUUGGGUCCACACUGCCUUUAUGAGCUGUAACACUCACCGUGAAGGUCUGAAGCUUUACUCUGGAAGCCAGUGAGACCAGGAACCCACCGGGAGGAAUGAACGACUCCAGACACACCGCCUUAAGAUCUGUGACACUCACCGCGAAGGUCUGCAGCUUCAUUCCUGAUCCAGCGAGACCAUGAACCCACCAGAAGGAAAAAACUCCGGACACAUCCGAACGUCUAGAAGAAACAAACUCCAGACACACCGCCUGUAAGAACUGUAACGGUCACCGCGAGGGUCCGCGGUUUCAUUCUUGAAGUCAGUGAGACCAAGAACCCACCAUUUCUGGACACACUACCAUGCCAGAGAUCCAGGGGCUGCAGCAUGCUGAAAGAAAACAGAAGCCUGUGGAGUGAGCCAAGAUCAACCAGGAAAUAAACCCUUUCCCUUGCGAUGUCUCUCCAGCGCCCUCUACUGACAAACCUGCUUUAGUGCCAGUUUGUAGAGAGACAGUUGGAUUUUUUUCCUGUUUCUGGUUAAUUGCUAAAAUCUACAGUGUGCUGAAGGUGGAGUAAAGUAUUUCCCCAAAGGAUUCCAAGCACAUCUCCCUUGCCCUUGAAUAUCUGUAUAUCUAUAUGAACAUCAAUUGAGAUAUAUAUGUGUGUGCCCCUAAUUACAUAAUUUUAAGCAUAUAUAUAAAAAUGUAAAAUCUCAUUGUCUGGCCUCAGUUUGUAUGACACAAAAUACUGAUUGUAUGGAAGAAAACAGAUUGGGAAACAGAUUUAUUCUAUAUCAUAUUUUCCUGAAAAGCUACCUUAAAAAGAUUUAAAUUAAAGCAAUUAGAGCAAGGGAGGCACAUUUCUUUAAAAAAUUAAAGUUGAGUACCAUACUGGUUUUUCAGAUGAAAUUUUCUUUUCCUUUUUCUCCUUCAUAUUGCUCAGAGCAUCUAAUUCCAUCAGAACUAUUGUCAAAUAAAUUUUAUGUAAAAUGUGUAUUUUUCUAAUGGGAGUUGAUUAUACAAACUGUAUUACACCUUUGUAUCUGAGUGAUCAUUUAAAAAUGCAUAUUGGUUUAGCACAUAGAGUUUAUGAAAUGCCAGAUAAUGCUCUUAUUCCUCAGUGAAAUCUGCACAUUUCUAGUUGUUGGUGGUCUAUUUCUGUUUGCUGUUCCUUGGAGGGGGGCUGAGAAUGUUCAAGUUUGACUUAGCUGUGUUUAAGUAAUAAAUCUUUGGAGUCA